GACGAACGCUGGCGGCGUGCCUAAUACAUGCAAGUCGAACGCAGUGGGGACGGGUGAGUAACACGUGGGUAACCUCCCAUCAGAGGGGAUAACACUUGGAAACAGGUGCUAAACUGAUAUUGAUGGAUGGACCCGCGGUGCAUUAGCUAGUUGGUGAGGUAACGGCUCACCAAGGCCACGAUGCCUAGCCGGCCUGAGAGGAUGAUCAGCCACACUGGGACUGAGACACGGCCCAGACUCCUACGGGAGGUAGCAGUGGGGAAUCUUCGACAAUGGGCGAAAGUCUGACCGAGCCACGCCGCGUGUGUGAAGAAGGUUUUCGGAUCGUAAAGCACUUUUGUUAGAGAAGCGGUAUCUGAACAGGAAGCCACGGCUAACUACGUGCCAGCCGCCGCGGUAAUUC
rnacentral:rRNA from 1 species